GACGAACGCUGGCGGCGUGCUUAACACAUGCAAGUCGAACGGAAAGGCCCUUCUUUUGUUGGUUGCUCGAGUGGCGAACGGGUUAGUAAUACGUGAGUAACCUUCCCUUUACUUUGGGAUAACUUCAGGAAACUGGGGCUAAUACCGGAUAGGAGCUCCUGCUGCAUGGUGGGGGUUGGAAAGUUUCGGCGGUUGGGGAUGGACUCGCGGCUUAUCUGGUUGUUGGUGGGGUAGUGGCUUACCAAGGCUUUGACGGGUAGCCGGCCUGAGAGGGUGACCGGCCAAAUGGGGACUGAGGUACGGCCCAGACUCCUACGGGAGGAAGAAGGGGGGAAUAUUGAACAAUGGGCGAAAGCCUGAUGAAGAAACGCCGCGUGCGGGAUGACGGACUUCGGGUUGUAAACCGCUUUCGCAUGUGACGAAGCGUGAGUGACGGUAAUGGGUAAAGAAGAACCGGCUAACUACGUG
rnacentral:rRNA from 1 species